UACGUAGGGUGCAAGCGUUGUCCGGAAUUAUUGGGCGUAAAGAGCUCGUAGGCGGUCCGUCACGUCGGCUGUGAAAACUCGGGGCUCAACCCCGAGCCUGCAGUCGAUACGGGCGGACUAGAGUCCGGCAGGGGAGACUGGAAUUCCUGGUGUAGCGGUGAAAUGCGCAGAUAUCAGGAGGAACACCGGUGGCGAAGGCGGUUCUCUGGGACGGUACUGACGCUGAGACGCGAAAGCGUGGGGAGCGAACAGG
rnacentral:rRNA from 1 species